CAUUUUUCCACCUAAAUGCCGCCUUACUUGGCUGUUUUAAAAAACGAUUUAUCCAAUUAAACGUCUUGUUAAUUUGUUUCUUGAGUAAUUUAGGCAAUGGAGGUUCAAUUUUGGAAAGGAAAGGGUCGAAUGAGUCGAGCUUAUUUGUUUUCGAGCGCUGUCUGUAUUGUGUAAGGAGAGUCAAGAGAGUUAGCGAUGAAGAUGGAGGCAGGAUUUACAAUAAUACACUUCUGUUCUCGCCGCAGGGAUUUGUGGCUUUUGAUCCCGACUAAUUAAUGUGAAACCCUCCGUGGGAAUAACGUGUGCAUGUGCGUGUGUUUGUGUGAGACAGUCAAAUGUGAAGGGGACGCUCCCGUCCUUUGACUUUAAUGAUACAGAGGCCACAAACUAUUAAAUAGCUUUAAUACAUCUUGGAUUUUUCUUCAUCUUUUUUUUUUUUAAUUUACCCUCUAAACAUUUCACAGACAAUUUACAGAUGCAGUCCUAACAAAUUCAAGUAAAGCUAAUAUUAGGAGGCGACGCUGUGGCUAAUCCCAACAACCAGAUGUCGUUUUUGGCAUUCCGAUGGGGGAGCCUUCAGGCGUAUAAAAUCUGUUGGGCAUCAUGUGAGCGUGGCCCAGAAGGCGGACGGAAAUCCAUUUUUCAUACCUCUCCAGUCAAGUGACUUGACAAACGUUGCAGCGUUCAAAUCGGGCCGCCCCGUCUGUAUCAUUAGGGGCUGAAUGGAGGUCAAACGGACAACAACACGGCGCUCUCGUCCUAAUUAGAGUGAUAGCGCCCUGCCUGUCCUCGUCUUUAAUCCGCACUCAGGCAGCCCCUGCCCCCCCCCCCCAAAAAAAAUCUAAAUCCCUACAGCAGAUGGAAGUGAUGUUAUCGAUCGAUCGGCCCUCAGAUUGAUUGGCAAGAGAUUCUGCGGUGAGGAGUUGAAAUACAUCAGUGUUGAUUGAUGAUUGGUUUCAUAACUUUUAUGGCUUUUCCGAUAUUACUUCGUUAUUUGAAUUUGGAUUCCCCCCCUCAUAAUUUACAACGUGAAAUUUUGACUUUUCUCAUUAUGGUAUUCUCUACUUUUCCCGUAGAAUUUGAUUUCAUUACAUAUCUUCACAUUUUACAACAUUUGCAUAAAAUUCCGACCAUUGUCAUAAUAUUUUUUUAGUCAUAUGACAAUUCUUUGAACUUAAGAACAGUUUUUUUUCUUUUAAUGCAGCUUUUUUCUCAUAACAUUACAGCUUUUUUUUUCAUAAACUUUGACAUUGCUGCUACUUUGGGAUUUAGUAAUAUGACAACUUUUUUUCACUCCUCACUUUGCAACUCAGUUUUCUUCAUAUUACAGCUUUUAUUGUGACUUUCAUAAAAUAUUACCACUUUUUUUUCUUUAAUUACUUUAUUUUAGUUUGAGUUUUUUCCCCCCAAAUUUUGCAACUUUAUCCACAUGAAAUUUCGACUUUAUUCUCAAAACAUUACCUCUUUUGUUUUAUUAGUCAGACUUUUGAUCUUUAGGACUUUAUUUAUGUAACCAUAUGAAUUAUUCUUUUGACUUGUUUUCUCCAGUGUGAACCUGCAUUAUGCCUUUUCUUACAAAUUAUCCAAAGGAGUAAAAGUGAUAAAGAAAAACAGCAGAUGUAUGUACACAUGCAA